CCGCUCGCUGGCGGGAGCGGGAGCGGGAGCGGGGCGCCGCCGCCCCGGGCCGUCCCCCGGCCCCGCUCCACGUGCGCUGCGCCGGCUGCCCGGGCACAAGUCCUGGAAUAAAUAAACACGGGCGCGGCGUGAGUCCGGGAGCCGCGCUGGAGACCGCAGCGAGGUCUCCUCGGGGGCGCAGGCCCUGACGCAGGCUGCCGGAGGGGCAGGGCGCCUCCUCCCCUUUCCUUCCCCUCCAGUAAACACGGCUUGGCAGCGCUGGCGGCUGCGGCUGUUUUCUUUCUUUGCAGAAACGCCACCGUGAGCCACAAUCAAAAAAAAAAAAAAAAAAAAAAAAAAAAAAAAGUAAAAAAAAAAAAAGUAAAAAAAAAAAAAAAGCUACCAAUUGACGAUUCUGAUGUGGCCCCGAUGUUUUCCAACGGCCUCUGGGUUUGUAAGAAGCUACUGAGGUCCCGAAGCCCCCUGCCUGCGUGACGGUUGCAGGCUGCGCGUAAUGAGUGUCUUGCGUGCAAGCACUGAGGACUCCGGACCGUGCUCCUGUGCUGGAGUCCUACCGAGCUUCCAGCACACACAGUCUCUCAGGCUUUGGAGAACACGAGAGGCCCCAAACCAAGACUGUGCAACAAAAUGCUGAUUGAUCCAGACCCAGACCAUCCCUACUCCUACAAUUCACUUUUCUGCAGAACUCUUACUGGUGUGGCUAGUACUUCAAAAUCAUACAGUGAAAGAAGAGGGAAGGCGUGUCUUCUCACACUGUUCCCUAUGAAGAAAAGGCGAGCAAAUGAGGGUGACUCAGGACUUCUAGUGGCCUACACGCGACUGAACAUUUUUCUGAAUGAUUCCACGUAUACACUUUGGAAUUAGGAAGAGAAACAUUUUACUCUUCACUAACCAAAUAAAACCAUCUAUAAAUCAUAUGCAAAACAACUUUGAGUAACGAGGGACUUAAGUCUAGGAAUUGAAGAGUUCUGUAUUUUCCCUUUAACAUUUUCCCUCCUUUGGGAAAUAAACAAAGACAU